AAAUUGAAGAGUUUGAUCAUGGCUCAGAUUGAACGCUGGCGGCAGGCCUAACACAUGCAAGUCGAACGGUAACAGGAAGCAGCUUGCUGCUUCGCUGACGAGUGGCGGACGGGUGAGUAAUGUCUGGGAAACUGCCUGAUGGAGGGGGAUAACUACUGGAAACGGUAGCUAAUACCGCAUAACGUCGCAAGACCAAAGAGGGGGACCUUCGGGCCUCUUGCCAUCGGAUGUGCCCAGAUGGGAUUAGCUUGUUGGUGGGGUAACGGCUCACCAAGGCGACGAUCCCUAGCUGGUCUGAGAGGAUGACCAGCCACACUGGAACUGAGACACGGUCCAGACUCCUACGGGAGGCAGCAGUGGGGAAUAUUGCACAAUGGGCGCAAGCCUGAUGCAGCCAUGCCGCGUGUAUGAAGAAGGCCUUCGGGUUGUAAAGUACUUUCAGCGGGGAGGAAGGGAGUAAAGUUAAUACCUUUGCUCAUUGACGUUACCCGCAGAAGAAGCACCGGCUAACUCCGUGCCAGCAGCCGCGGUAAUACGGAGGGUGCAAGCGUUAAUCGGAAUUACUGGGCGUAAAGCGCACGCAGGCGGUUUGUUAAGUCAGAUGUGAAAUCCCCGGGCUCAACCUGGGAACUGCAUCUGAUACUGGCAAGCUUGAGUCUCGUAGAGGGGGGUAGAAUUCCAGGUGUAGCGGUGAAAUGCGUAGAGAUCUGGAGGAAUACCAGUGGCGAAGGCGGCCCCCUGGACGAAGACUGACGCUCAGGUGCGAAAGCGUGGGGAGCAAACAGGAUUAGAUACCCUGGUAGUCCACGCCGUAAACGAUGUCGACUUGGAGGUUGUGCCCUUGAGGCGUGGCUUCCGGAGCUAACGCGUUAAGUCGACCGCCUGGGGAGUACGGCCGCAAGGUUAAAACUCAAAUGAAUUGACGGGGGCCCGCACAAGCGGUGGAGCAUGUGGUUUAAUUCGAUGCAACGCGAAGAACCUUACCUGGUCUUGACAUCCACGGAAGUUUUCAGAGAUGAGAAUGUGCCUUCGGGAACCGUGAGACAGGUGCUGCAUGGCUGUCGUCAGCUCGUGUUGUGAAAUGUUGGGUUAAGUCCCGCAACGAGCGCAACCCUUAUCCUUUGUUGCCAGCGGUCCGGCCGGGAACUCAAAGGAGACUGCCAGUGAUAAACUGGAGGAAGGUGGGGAUGACGUCAAGUCAUCAUGGCCCUUACGACCAGGGCUACACACGUGCUACAAUGGCGCAUACAAAGAGAAGCGACCUCGCGAGAGCAAGCGGACCUCAUAAAGUGCGUCGUAGUCCGGAUUGGAGUCUGCAACUCGACUCCAUGAAGUCGGAAUCGCUAGUAAUCGUGGAUCAGAAUGCCACGGUGAAUACGUUCCCGGGCCUUGUACACACCGCCCGUCACACCAUGGGAGUGGGUUGCAAAAGAAGUAGGUAGCUUAACCUUCGGGAGGGCGCUUACCACUUUGUGAUUCAUGACUGGGGUGAAGUCGUAACAAGGUAACCGUAGGGGAACCUGCGGUUGGAUCACCUCCUUA
rnacentral:rRNA from 1 species